UUCAAACAUUGACGCCAGCUGCUGCCUUUCAAAAACUGUCGAGCGAAACAAAUGUGUUUGUUUUUCAUUUUCCAGUCUCUUUCGCUUUCCUUUCCAUGCCGGCUGCCGCUGCCACUGCUGCUGCCAAAUCUCUUUCGUUGUUUGCCGGUGAACGGUAAGGCGUUUUUUAAGUAGUUUUUAAUAAUGCGGCAACACACGCGGAAAAGGAGCAAAGGCCAAAAGGACUAGCAACCCAUCGAGAUGUGGGCAGGAUCAACAAAUUAUAUAUUUCAGCCAAAGCCAAAAGAAAACCAAACCCAAAACAUCUGUUGCCACCGAAAGGAUGGUGGAAAAUAGCAGGACAGGACAGGACUGGACAGGACUGGACUGGAAAAAAGGUAAAAAAAUAGAACGUUGAACGGUGGGUGCACCACCACAGAGGGAGUAGCUCUGAUUUCAGGCAAGCCACAGAGCGGCAAGAGAGCAAGGACCUCCCCAAGACUCAAGACGCAAGACCCAAGACCCCAGAUAAUCGUCGAGUUUUUCUUUUCUUACGAGUAUUCCGUCUGCCCCUGCCCCUGCCCCUGCCCGUGCUCCUCCUGCCACUAAACAGCGACACAACAGCGGAACAGAAAUUGAAUUUAAAUGGUUGUCAGCAACAGAAAUUAGUUUUGCUUUCUCAGAAAUGACAAAAAAAAA